GUGGAUUAGAUACCCUGGUAGUCCUGGCAGUAAACGGUGUGCGCUUGGUGUGAGGGGAUUCGACCCCCCUUGUGCCGGAGCUAACGCGUUAAGCGCACCGCCUGGGAAGUACGGCCGCAAGGCUAAAACUCAAAGAAAUUGACGGGGACCCGCACAAGCGGUGGAGUAUGUGGCUUAAUUCGAUGCAACGCGAAGAACCUUACCAAGGCUUGACAUGCAUCUCUAAGCGCGUGAAAGCGCGUGACUCUUCGGAGGAUUUGCACAGGUGCUGCACGGCUGUCGACAACU
rnacentral:rRNA from 1 species